rnacentral:misc_RNA from 1 species
GAUGAAGAACGCAGCGAAAUGCGAUAAGUAAUGUGAAUUGCAGAAUUCAGUGAAUCAUCGAAUCUUUGAACGCACAUUGCGCCCCUUGGUAUUCCGAGGGGCAUGCCUGUUCGAGCGUCAUUUCUGCCCUCCAGCCCGGCUGGGUGUUGGGCGCUGUCCCCCCGGGGACACGCCCCAAAGGCAGUGGCGGCGCCGCGUCGGGUCCUCGAGCGUAUGGGGCUUUGUCACCCGCUCGGGACGGACUCGUCGGCGCUGGUCUUCCUCCAGGCGACCCUUCGGGGCUCGUCUUCCUUCGGUUGACCUCGGAUCAGGUAGGGUUACCCGCUGAACUUAAGCAUAUCAAUAAGCGGAGGA